UGCGUAGGCGGGCUAAUAAGUCAGUGGUGAAAUCUUCCGGCUCAACCGGGAACCUGCCAUUGACACUGUUAGUCUUGAGUUCGGUUGAGGUAGGCGGAAUGUGUAAUGUAGCGGUGAAAUGCUUAGAUAUUACACAGAACACCAAUUGCGUAGGCAGCUUACUAGACCGACACUGACGCUGAGGCACGAAAGCGUGGGGAGCGAACAGGAUUAGAUACCCUGGUAGUCC
rnacentral:rRNA from 1 species